rnacentral:snoRNA from 1 species
AGGAGGCUGUGAGGAAAUUAAACAGCUUCAAAUGCUAGUUCUGCUUCUGAUAAUUCAUGAUUGAUAAAGCUGAUAAUUAUUGAGCUUGAU